UUAAGUGACGAUAGCCUAGGAGAUACACCUGUACCCAUGCCGAACACAGCAGUUAAGCCCUAGAACGCCGGAAGUAGUUGGGGGUUGCCCCCUGUGAGAUAUGGUAGUCGCUUAGC
rfam:Streptococcus gordonii str. Challis substr. CH1, complete genome.